rnacentral:rRNA from 1 species
UCAACUAUUAGGGCUUCGGGGGGAUACUGCCAGACUUGGAACCGGGAGAGGUAAGAGGGUACUACAGGGGUAGGAGUGAAAUCUUGUAAUCCCUGUGGGACCACCGUAGUGGCGAAGGCGUCUUACCAGAACGGGUUCGACGGUGAGGGACGAAAGCUGGGGGCACGAACCGGAUUAGAUACCCGGGUAGUCCCAGCCGUAAACGAUGCUCGCUAGGUGUCAGGCAUGGCGCGACCGUGUCUGGGUGCCGCAGGGAAGCCGUGAAGCGAGCCACCGGGGAAGUACGGCCGCAAGGCUGAAACUUAAAGGGAAUUGGCGGGGGAGCACAACAACGGGUGGAGCCCUGCGGUUUAAUUGGACUCAACGCCGGACAACUCACCGGGGGCGACAGCAAUAUGUAGGCCAAGCUGAAGACUUUGCCUGAAUCGCUGAGAGGAGGUGCAUGG